rnacentral:rRNA from 1 species
GCACUUUAAGCAGUGAAGAAGACUCCGUGGUUAAUACCCACGGACGAUGACAUUAGCUGCAGAAUAAGCACCGGCUAACUCUGUGCCAGCAGCCGCGGUAAUACAGAGGGUGCAAGCGUUAAUCGGAAUUACUGGGCGUAAAGCGAGCGUAGGUGGCUUGAUAAGUCAGAUGUGAAAUCCCCGGGCUUAACCUGGGAACUGCAUCUGAAACUGUUAGGCUAGAGUAGGUGAGAGGGAAGUAGAAUUUCAGGUGUAGCGGUGAAAUGCGUAGAGAUCUGAAGGAAUACCGAUGGCGAAGGCAGCUUCCUGGCAUCAUACUGACACUGAGGCUCGAAAGCGUGGGUAGCAAACAGGAUUAGAUACCCUGGUAGUCCACGCCGUAAACGAUGUCUACUAGUCGUUGG